GCGAUCUCAGCAGGAAAUAGAUACCAACAUGGAGGAUGGACCGGAUGCAGUGGGGAGGCUCAUUUUGAAGGAGUUCUUCCAGAAGAAGACGGAAUGUUGCUCUUGUUGCCGAGGCUGGAGUGCCGUGAUGUGAUCUUGGCUCACUGCAACCUCUGCCUCCAAGGUUCAAGUGAUUCUCCUGCCACAGCUUCCUGGGUAGCUGGGAUUACAGGUCUCCACCUCUGGGCAGGAGAGUUGCCGACCACCUCGGGGGUGCUUUCUCUGCGCUUGAACAUCUAUAGCUGCUUCUGAGGGGCUGGGAGCCGGGCCCCUGGGAGAGACGAGCCAUGAACCCCCCACAGCCUCUGCAUUUGGGGACCUCACCUUAGGAGAGUGCCAUUUACAGCUUCCGCCAGGGCAAAGGAGCUGAGCAGCCAUCCCAAGCCCAGCCCACCUCCCUCCCCCGGCCCCUGGUAGGCAUGGACUAGCAGCUGUGAGCAGCCAGAGCUGAUGCCCGGCCCCCAGGGGGGCAGAGGCGCCGCCACCAUGAGCCUGGGCAAGCUCUCGCCUGUGGGCUGGGUGUCCAGUUCACAGGGAAAGAGGCGGCUGACUGCAGACAUGAUCAGCCACCCACUCGGGGACUUCCGCCACACCAU
rnacentral:lncRNA from 10 species